rnacentral:misc_RNA from 1 species
AGCUAGAACGCUCACUGGCUGGAUUCCCCACGUGCUACACGUGCAGUGUUCGAGAUAGUCUGCUGCUAAACGCUCCCUUCACCCAGUGUCACUGUUCUAAUCGUUAAUUCAAGCAGCACGUGAAAUUGCUCUCACUAACGGAAUUAUCCAUCAUUUUUUUUUUAAAUAAACUGUCGCCAUUUAUGCAAUUUGUAAAGCAGUGUCCUGGUGCUUUAGAAGUUUUUUGUUGAAAAUAUCUACUUUAAAUAGCCAAAGGGAUAUACUAUGGGAGACGAAUUUCAAUAAGAUUGUGUUUUUGGAGUGUAUGCUGAAGUGAUUUGUGGAAAAAAGAGAAAAAAUAUUGUAUAGAUUGGUUCCACUCUGAGGAUGCCGGAUGCCUUUUCCGUAUCAUCUGGAUAAGGACCCGAAGCCGGUAAUGGAUGACUCCAGGCUACCAAAGGGAGGUCACCAUAACGGAAAAGACAUAAAUAUUCUAGUUGUUGGACUCAAAGGUGUUGGAAAAUCCGUUGAUUGGGGGAAAACAAUGGAAUUCAAGUUGUUGUGGAAACGAUCAAGUGAGGUGGUUAUUUUUCGUCUAGUCAAUUCUUCCAGAAUUCAAACAUCAGACUAGCAGCUGAUCUCUUGUGAUUUUUUUCUUUGUUCUCCACAGAAACAGUUGUCUAUGAGUUGAGAAACCCACAAUUUUAAACAAAAGACUUUGAUAAAUCAGACAGUCAUGAGUAACCACAACAGACAUCGUGUAAACGUUCGAAUUCGCCUCCUGAAAAAAAAAAAGCCAUUUACCAUUAUGCCAGUGGCGAAAGAUGACUUUUCUCACGUUUCUUUGCUGUGUUCUCUGGUGUCAGUUUGUUCUUAUCAGCACUAAACAUUUAUCCAAAUAUCUUUUAAACCUAUAACCCGGUAAUUUCUGUAAAUACUCUGCGAGGAACGAAUAUAUUUAUAUUUUCACCAGCUAGCAAGAGAAAAUUUAUCUUCCCGUGGGUUGUCAACGCUUUUAUCAGUAGCAUAUUGACUCAAGAUUAAAGUUGUAUAUACAUAG